rnacentral:rRNA from 1 species
AUUGAACGCUGGCGGCAGGCCUAACACAUGCAAGUCGAACGAGUGGCGGACGUGUGAGUAAUGACUGGGAAACGGCGUGAUGGAGGGGGAUAACUACUGGAAACGGUAGCUAAUACCGCAUACCAGAGGAUGUGCCCAGGUAGGAUGAGCUAGUGGGGGGGGCAAAGGCUCACCUAGGCGACGAUCCCUAGCUGGUCUGAGAGGAUGACCAGCCACACUGGAACUGAGACACGGUCCAGACUCCUACGGGAGGCAGCAGUGGGGAAUAUUGGACAAUGGGCGCAAGCCUGAUGCAGCCAUGCCGCGUGUGUGAAGAAGGCCUUCGGGUUGUAAAGCACUUUCAGCGGGAAGGCGUUACCCGCAGAAGAAGCACCGGCUAACUCCGUGCCAGCAGCCGCGGUAAUAC